UACAGAGGGUGCAAGCGUUGUUCGGAAUUACUGGGCGUAAAGCGCACGUAGGCGGAUUGUUAAGUCGGGGGUGAAAUCCCGGGGCUCAACCCCGGAAUGGCCUCCGAUACUGGCAAUCUUGAGGUCGGGAGAGGUGAGUGGAAUGGCGAGUGUAGAGGUGAAAUUCGUAGAUAUUCGCCGGAACACCAGUGGCGAAGGCGGCUCACUGGCCCGAUACUGACGCUGAGGUGCGACAGCGUGGGGAGCAAACAGG
rnacentral:rRNA from 1 species